CCUUCGGGCUAGUGGCGAACGGCGGAGUAAUACAUAAGCAACCUGCCCUGAAGACGGGGAUAUACGGGGGAAACCCCGGGUAAUACCCGAUGUGACUCCAGAGAGGCAUCUCUCAGGAAUUAAACGGUUUUUCGCUUCAGGAGGGGCUUAUGAUGCAUCAGGUAGUUGGUGGGGUAAAGGCCUACCAAGCCGACGACGCAUAGGGGGUCUGAGAGGAUGAUCCCCCCGAGUGGGACUGAGACACGGCCCACACACCUACGGGUGGCAGCAGUUGGGAAUCUUGCACAAUGGGGGAAACCCUGAUGCAGCGACGCCGCGUGGAGGAUGACGGCCCUAGGGUUGUAAACUCCUUUUGCACGGAAAGACUUAGGACGGUACCGUGCGAAUAAGCCCCGGCUAACUACGUGCCAGCAGCCGCGGUAAGACGUAGGGGGCAAGCGUUGUCCGGAUUUACUGGGCGUAAAGAGCUCGUAGGCGGUCUGUUAAGUGAAUGGUGAAAUCUCCAGCGCUCAACGCGGAAAUUGCCUUUCAUACUGGCAGAC
rnacentral:rRNA from 1 species